UACAACAUAGCGUUAUUGCACAAGAUCUCAUUAGAACUCCACAAUUAAGCACGCUCAAGCUAGAGUAGUACUUGGAUGGGUGAUUUCCCAGGAAGUACUAGCGUUUUAC
rfam:Picea glauca, whole genome shotgun sequence.